AGCAGCCGCGGUAAUUCCAGCUCCAAUAGCGUAUAUUAAAGUUGUUGCAGUUAAAAGCUCGUAGUUGAAUUUCGGGGUUAGUAGGUUGGUCAUGCCUCUGGUAUGUACUGGUCUCACUGAUUCCUCCUUCCUGAUGAGCCGUAAUGCCAUUAAUUUGGUGUUGCGGGGAAUUUGGACUGUUACUUUGAAAAAUUAGAGUGUUUAAAGCAAGCUAACGCUUGAAUACAUUAGCAUGGAAUAAUGAAAUAGGACGUUCGAUCCUAUUUUGUUGGUUUCUAGGAUUGACGUAAUGAUUAAUAGGGAUAGUUGGGGGCAUUAGUAUUCAAUUGUCAGAGGUGAAAUUCUUGGAUUUAUUGAAGACUAACUACUGCGAAAGCAUUUGCCAAGGAUGUUUUCAUUAAUCAAGAACGAAAGUUAGGGAUCGAAGACGAUCAGAUACCGUCGUAGUCUUAACCAUAAACUAUGCCGACUAGGGAUCGGAUGAUGUUUAAUUUUUAAUGUACUCAUUCGGCUACCG
rnacentral:misc_RNA from 1 species